GGUUCUGCGACAAAUGUUUACCGUGGCUUUGUGUGAGUGCGGGUAGUGUGACCAGCGCAGUGUUAAUGCGCCUUGGGCCAAAAGGGCCUUAGCAAGUUCACGACACCAUCACUUCUUACCAGUGUUGAAUUGAACAUUUCAAGAUUGUGCAAAGCAUUUAUUUAAUAGGUUGUACCAGGCAUAUAUUAACAUAUAUAAACAAACAUACUCUUUUCACUGUAGGAAGUAAUGAGUCCAAGCAUCGCCUUUACCAACACCGGCCGACACCGGCUAUGCAAAAACGAGCUACACAACACUGGCUUUUGAAUGACCGUUUAAUUUUAAUGGAAACCAUGUUUCUGGUUAAGAAAAUAUAUAAUACAAUAAACAAAAUAUACUAAUGUCGACUUCGCACGAACUGAGAUCUCAGUUAAGUUUUUCAAAUUGUCUAUGAUAUACCAAAAAUGGUUUAUGGCUUGUAGCACCACAUUUAACAGAAGCCAGCAAAAA
rnacentral:sRNA from 1 species